rnacentral:tRNA from 1 species
GGGCCUGUAGCUCAGCUUGGUAGAGCGGUUGGCUCUUAACCAACAUGUCAUGGGUUCGAAUCCCAUCGGGCCCG